UUUUGUUGAAACUAAAGUAACACUUUGAAACAUCAAUCAAUUUCGGUGUAACUGAACGUAUAAAAGAAUACUGACAAAAUAACAACUAUCGCAGUUCUGUCCAUUGUUUCGGCUACGAAAGUGUUUUGUGCAUAUAGUACUAAAAUUGAUAAUUAAAAAUGAAAGCUGUUCUUCUCGUGUUAUUCGCUGUGUUGGGAUGUGCUUAUUGCAGAUCGUUACCAGCACAACCAUCUGACAUCAAAAUUGAAUCAUUAAGUGGUAAUCCAACUCAACUAGUUCGAAGAGCUCGUCAAUUCGGAUACGGAGGAUACAACAACUUCGAUUACAAUCCAUACAAUGAUACGCCCAACAACUACGACAAUAACCCAUUUAAUGACAAUGCCCGCAGAACCUACAAUAACUUUGAUUUCAACCCGUUUAACGACUCGCCAAAUAAUUAUGAUUAUAACCCUUACAACGACUCAGGCUUCUUUGGACGGAAAUAGUUCUUAGACAUUUUGUGAAAAAUGUUUGUUAUCACAAAUUUAUUUAAUUUAAAUAUAAAUUCUCGCUAAGUU